GGAAAUUUGAAAUUGUCUGAGUUUUAAAAACAUCUUUGACAGAAAUAUAUUAAUCAAUUGUAUUAUUCUGUUCUCACAGUGCUAUAAAGAAAUACCUGAAACUGAGUAAUUUAUAAAGAAAAGAAAUUUAAUUGGCUCACUGUUCCACAGGCUGUACAGUAGGCAUGGUGCUGGCAUUUGCUCAGCUUCUGGGAUGGCCUCAGGCAACUUAAAAUCAUGGCAGAAAUUGAAGGAAGAGCAGAUAUCUCACAUGGGUGGAAGAAGGAGCAAGAGAGGGGAUAGUUUACACUAAACUAUUCAUGAGAAACUGCCCUCAUAAUCAAAUCACCCCUUACCAGGCCCCACCUUCAACACAGGGGGUUACAUUUCAAUAUGAAGUUUGGGCAGGGACACACAUUCAAACUAUAUCACCAAUUAUAUAUACACACACUCACAAAGGUAUGUCUAUGUAUGUAUGUAUCACUCUUGACACUUCUGUGUUCAGGCUUCCAAAUUUAUCUGGAAUAUAAACACUUCUCAGGACCUUAAGCAACUGCUCCUGCUGCCUAAUCCAUAUUUUGUCAACACUCACCUCUGCGUGCCAAAAGUUACUUAAUGUAAAAAACAUGAAUCUCUACCUGGGGACUUUUUAGGAGCAUUCGUGACCAGCAGGAGAGUAAGCAAAUCAUGUUUCUUCAAGCAACCUUCAACCAUGAUUGAUAGAAAAUGGAGAGAAAUAUUUCCUUGCUUCCUUCCCUUUGGCUGGAAUUACUCUGAAAAAUGUUCCACACUCUCUCCCAGAGGUCUGCAGAGGAACUGGUAUCAAACGCCCACAGAUGCUGCAGAGGAGUUCUGGAGUGCAAAUCAGGGAUCGGAUUACUCUAUUCUCAAAUCAGACAGUUACUGCCUAAGAGUCACUCUGGUAGGAAUAAGGUAAAAGUAAACUCUCAGUCCUUUCUGCAUCUCUGAAAACAGCAAAGCAGCUCCACUAGUGUGAGGAAAACCCUCUGAAGAAAGUCACAGAUACAAAUAUUACAAGAAAAGCUAGGAAAGGGGAACAAGAACAUGGUAAAAUAGAUACGACAGAAUCUGGGCAGUACACUGUUUGUACCUGCUGCAAUAGUGCUGGUAGGUUUCAUUGACAAGGUAGGUUUGUGCAAAGCCCCAAAAGUGAGGGAGUUACCUAGGCAGAUGCCAAAGAGCAGAGAAUUUCAAUGGGUAAGAGGAGUUAAAGGCCUUGUCAUGAAUGAAGUAAAUCCACAAAUCCUGGAACUUUUUUCAAAAGCUGAAUCUAAAUUUCCUCUUUAGUUGUACUUAACUUUAUAAUUUGUAUAUAAUAAAUCAGAUUAUAUAGAAGAGAUGCAAUGUGACAUCUAAAACUAACUAAUAUAAAUUAUUGAGGAUCUAUCUUAGUCUGUCUCUCUUAAGUUGCUCACUCUGAAAGUAGCUAGCUGCCAUGUCAUGGGGAUGUACCAAAAAUCUCUUAGAAGAGACUCCAUGGUGAGAAACUGAGGCUUCUUGUCUACAGCCAUGGUAAUGAGCCAUUUUGAGAUGAAUCUUCCUGCACACCUAGUCAAGCUUUCAGUUGACUGCAGCUCUGGCUAAAUAUCUUGACCACAAAAUCAUAAAAAACCCUUACAGAACCACUCAUCUAAGUCAACCUCAAUUGUUUGGCUGACAAUAUCUAUAAGAUUAUUUAAAUUUGUUAUUUUAAGCCACUAGGUUCUGGCAUAAUUAUAGAAAAAUAGACAGCUAAUACAGGUCCUACUGGGAGACAUACCUAGCAUGUCCUAGAAUCAUCAAGAGAGCUAUUUUAAAGGGGCAAUUUUAAAGCCCCUUUAAAAUAGCAAGAUCAAAAAGGGGCAAUUUUAAAGCCAGAUCAACCCCAUUUAGCUAUGCGGCUUAUAGCAGAUUUUUUAAAAACUUGAUCACAUCUACCAGGUCAAUUUUUCCUUAUAAGUAACAUAGUCACAGAUUGCAGGGGACCUGAAUAUCUUUUGGGAAAACAUUAUUCAACUGACUACAGUUGUUAAUGCUUAUUUACAAAAGACAGGGCUUGCAAAAUUAAGGUUUGGGAAAGCUGCUUUUUUGAAAGGAGGCAAUUGAGUUUCCUUUGCAGUUUUUUUAAAUACACAACCUCCUGAAAAUAUAUGGCAUUAAGGUUCACUGAAAUCUGAGUAGGAUGAACAGGACUCAGCAAGCAUGUUGUUAAUUUCCUUAGAGAAACGUAGCAAAGAGUAUAAGGUUUGAAUGCUUGAGCUUUGUGAAGCUUAUUUUUAUUUUUUCUUUGUUUCACCUCUAGUGACUAAAAAGGCUACCUAUUUCAAAGGCUGCCAGUUAGGAGGUGGAACAAAAUUGUAAAAAUUUAUCUUUUAUUUAUAUUAGCAAAAAGUCCAAAAGAUUCAAUCCAAGGAGAUCACGUGUAGAGGGCUGAGGUGUAGGAGAGUAAUUUGUGGCCUUGAGAUGUGGGAAGGAGCCACGGGCACAAUGUGGCUGUUAAAACAAAGUCCUGAAGUCAUAGCAGAUGAUAUGAAAGAGGAGAGGAAGUAGAAUGGAGAAAACGGUGGCAGACACGUUGGGGAGAGAAAGGAGACAAGAAAAAAAUACGUUUGAUAAAUCCAUGUGAUGUUAGAAUAUCACUGUAUAUGUGGGAAACAUUAAAAUGUGCUAUUGUUCUUCUAAUGCAAAUUCUAAAAGGCACAGCUCAGGGAAAUUUUUAUAAGAAUUAGGGGUAAAAAUAGGUUGAGAAACACUUCUCUAGAGAAUGUUGAUGCUUAAUCAAUUAAUUAAUUCAGAAAUAAGUAAUUUCAUGAAAAUCUGCUAUACUUGAUUACAUUUUUCUUCUCUUAAUUUUUCAAUAUUUUAGGAAUGUUAUAAUGCAUUGUUUAAAAUAAAACAGCAUUGCUUCAUACAGUCUCUGUGACAAGUGAAGCGCAAUAAAACCUUUUUAUGUUAGAGAAAAGAAUUAAUAUGGAAAAAAGGCAUAAAUGCAUCCUUUAAAUUGUUUGCGUUAAUCCUGUACACCAUGCAGCUUCCACUUAACGUACUAAAAGUAGAUUAUGUGAAUGUAGUCAGUUAAAGGAAUAAGAAAAGAAAUUGUUCAUACACAUUCAAAAUACAUCUCUAAGGCAGAUUUACUGAAGUAUUACAUAGGUAAAAUUUAGCUCUGCUAUGAGCACGGUGCUAUGAAUCUGUUACAAUAUGUAAAGUUAUGUAAACACUAAGACGGAAAAGUCAUAGCAUAAUUCCACCAUCCCCUAAGGAGUUCCCUCAUGCCCCUUUGUAAUCAACCUACUCCUUUGCUAUCUACUCCUAGAAACCACUGAUCUGUUUUAUGGUCCAAUGCUUCAAUUGUUUCUAGAAUGUCCUAUAAAUAAAAUCAUACAGCAUAUAGCUUUUGAGUCUUAUUUCUUUUACUUAAAUAAUGCUUUUGCUAUGAAACAUGUCAUUGUGUAACAAUUUAUUGUUGAGUAGUAUUCUAUUUUAUGUUUAGUAAAGCUUUGCAACUUGUUAAAAAAAUUGACAUGCUAUAAAGUUCAUAUACUUAAAAUAUAAUUAGGUAAGUUUGGCAUAAAUAUCUACUCAUGAGAAAUAUUACACAAUCUACAUUACAGACAUGCAUAUCACCCUGAAAAAUUUCUCAUUUACAAUCCUCUUUCUUUUUCAGUCUCACCUUCAAGUACGAACUAUCUCCUUUCUCUACAGACAAGCUUGUAUUUCAGGAAUUUUGUAUAAAUGGAAUUAAAUAGUUUGUAGUCUUUUUGACUGACGUUUUUCACUAAACAUAAUUAUUUUUGGAUUCAUUCAUGUUGGUACAUAUCAAGCUUAUUCCUUUUAUUGCACUGUAAAAUUUCUAGUAUUCCAUUUUGUAGAUAUACCUUGAUUUGUAUAUCCAUUUACCUGUUGAUAAGCAGGAUAUUUUCAAUUUUUGUUAAUGCAAAUAAAGAUGCUAUGAACAUUUAUAUACCUGCUUAUACAGAGACAUUUUCUUUUACAUCUUAAGGUAAAUACUUAAAUGUAGAUUGACUGAAUUAUAGGUAGGAAAAUAAUUAACUUUUAAGAAACUAUCAAAAUGUUUUCCAAAGUGGUAGUAUGAUUUUACACAUUGUCCAUUAGUGUAUGAGAGUUCUAGUUGCUCCAUAUUCAUGACAAAACAAGAUAUAGUAAGACUUUAAAAUUUUAUUCAUUCUAGUAAGUGUGUAGGAAUAUCUAGUUGUGGUUUUAAUUUGCAAUACUGUAAUGAUUAAUGGUAUUAAUCAUCUUUUUAAUGUGCUUGUUAUCUCUAUAGAUUAUUAAGUAUCUAUUAAAAUCUUUUGCUUAUUUUAAAAUUUAAUGGCUUUUGUUGUUUUUGGUCAUGAUGUAUUAUUCUAUUUUCAUCUAAAAUAAUUUUCUUUCUACUUGACAAACAUCUUUUCACAUUUCUUAUAAUGUGAAUAUAGUUUUGGUCAAUUCUUUCAGUUUCUGUAUUUCAAAAAAUAUUUAUAAUACUAAUUUAUCUAUGUAAUUGCUUAAUAGCUUAAUAGCCACACGUCUUAUUUUAGAUUUCUUUCUCUAGUUCUUCAAAUAUACAUUUUAUGGAUAACCAUCUACUUUCAGGAAAUGUUAUGAUACUUACAUAAAUAUAACAAACUUUCAAUAUAUUACAUCAAAUUAAAACACCUAUUUUCUAUUUGACUAUAUGUUUUACUUUCCCAUAUGUCAUAAACCUCACACUUACUUGUCAAUAGUUUUUACUUUCAACUGUCAAUUAUCUUUAAGAUUAAUUAAAAUAAUAAAUAUAUAUCUUGCAUAUUUGCAUUUAAUUUCACUGUUUUUAGAACAUUUUAUUUCUUUAUAUAAAUUUUAAUCUCUGGUAUUAUAGAUCUUCUGCCCGAAAACUUUCUUUAAUAUUUCUUGUAGCACAGCACACUAC
rnacentral:lncRNA from 1 species